rnacentral:rRNA from 1 species
GACGAACGCUGGCGGCGUGCUUAACACAUGCAAGUCGAACGAUGAAGCCCAGCUUGCUGGGUGGAUUAGUGGCGAACGGGUGAGUAACACGUGGGCAACCUGCCCCAAACUCUGGGAUAACUCCUCGAAAGAGGUGCUAAUACCGGAUGCGAACUAGACAGACAUCUGUACUAGUUGGAAAGUUUUUCGGUUUGGGAUGGGCCCGCGGCCUAUCAGCUUGUUGGUGAGGUAACGGCUCACCAAGGCUACGACGGGUAACCGGCCUGAGAGGGCGACCGGUCACGCUGGGACUGGGACACGGCCCAGACUCCUACGGGAGGCAGCAGUGGGGAAGAUUGCGCAAUGGGCGGAAGCCUGACGCAGCGACGCCGCGUGAGGGAUGAAGGUCUUCGGAUCGUAAACCUCUUUCAGUAGGGACGAAGCGAAAGUGACGGUACCUAAAGAAGAAGCACCGGCUAACUACGUGCCAGCCGCCGCGGUAA